UGUGCGUGCGCUGUGCCUUUCAGAGCCACACAAUAAGUGUUCGAUGGCUGCUAUACAUUGCCUUGAUUGAAGCUUGUCACCCACAUAGCAACUGAGUUGUUCAGUGCAGGGUGGGAAUGCAAACCACUCUGUUAAUAAUUCUUUUACAGCUGCAGAAACCAUAAGGUAUUUGUGUGAAGGUGAUGAAAUGAGCAUGGAGAAAACCCUUGUAAACAGGCAGCCCAUCUCCCUGAAAAAUGUUUGUGCGGCACUCCAGAAAUGGGAGAGGCCCCCGGACACAAACAGCUGUCUCCUGUACCCACGGAGAUGCCACUUGCUGUGCCCACCAUCUGGCUGGACAACCACCCAUGUGAGCAGCUGGCACCAGAAGGGAUUUGGGACGCCACCAACUGCAGUGUGCUAUCCUGCUUUGUAAAACGAGCUUAAUGCCAGAUGCCAGAAGAGUCCCGUGCUGUGAACCCUCUCCCGCUCGAUGGGCAAACUGACCCCAGCUACCCAGAGGUGGAUGGAGAUGAGCGCCCAACAAGAGGACAUCCUGCUCCAACCCUGUGCCUGCCAAAAGCCCUGAUGGCGCCAGCAACAGAAACACAGGUCUUGCUAUUUCUUCAGGCAUGUGAACCAGCACAAUGGAAGAUAUUAACGAUAUUCUGAAAAUCCAAGUUGAUGCUUACCAAAAAAGACUGAAAAAUUCCCCGACUCUAUGCUAGGAAAUAGCAAAGCAGGUGAUAUGGAAAGAGACCUCCUUCGGAUGAGCUAAUCACGUCCACAGCUGCGCGUGCCGGGACGGCAGCCACUCCCCAGCCCACCGGGUGCUACGGCUGGCAUCACCCUCCGUGUAACCCUCCGAUUAGGAAAUAGGUGCUGUCAGGAAAAUUCGCAACUGGCCCGUGCCGACCGAGGAGAGAGACUCGGACACAAUGUAGAGAAUGACAACAGUAAAUAUUUAUUCGUGUGCAUGAGGUGUCAAAUUGGGGCACCCUGAAUGCGCUUAACGCAGGGUUCUUAUAUCCUUCAAAUGUCGAGGUACAGCACAAUUUGACUAAUCACUAACACCCAUGCUACUGAUUACUAAUCAUAGUAAAACUUUGCAAAGCAACAAUAUUUUUGCAGCAUUCUUGCUGCUUGCCUAUUGAUCCAGACAUCCCUGGAUUCAGUCUUAGAGUUACUUAUCUAGGAGGCUGGACAAUGCUGGGAGGGUUUCAAAGACGUGUUGGA